UAGACUCAAGUGAAGAGAAAAGUAAAUGGUCGCUUAAAGCCAAGAGAGAUUCUGGUAGGUGUGAAGAAUCGUGCGAGUGAUGAUUGAAAAUGGUCUCGGAUGAGUUGAAAGGUGAGCGCGGAUGCGUAAGCCAUUCACGGAUAGGACACACGAUAUCGUGUCGCAGUUUACCUAAUAGGUGUACUGGUCGAGGUUUAUUUUGAGAAAAAUAAACAAAUCAAGGUGGUAACACGAAUCUACAUUCGUCCUUGCA
rnacentral:ncRNA from 1 species